rnacentral:snoRNA from 1 species
AAGGCUGUAGGUACAACAGUAAUUUUUGUGGUUUGUUGUUAGACAAAAUUUGAAGGGCGUGUUAGAACACUCGAAACUGUGGAGAUGUAGUGUUUUUUUCUGAGUGUGAAGGCUGCCCUUGGUGUUGUUUUUACAGCUACUACUACAUGUUGAUGAUCGUUUUUCUUGUUCUUAAGAAGAGAAUGCUCAUUGAGUGGU